GACGAACGCUGGCGGCGUGCUUAACACAUGCAAGUCGAACGGAAAGGCCCUGCUUUUGUGGGGUGCUCGGGUGGCGAACGGGUGAGUAACACGUGAGUAACCUGCCCUUGACUUUGGGAUAACUUCAGGAAACUGGGGCUAAUACCGGAUAGGAGCUCCUGCUGAAUGGUGGGGGUUGGAAAGUUUCGGCGGUUGGGGAUGGACUCGCGGCUUAUCAGCUUGUUGGUGGGGUAGUGGCUUACCAAGGCUUUGACGGGUAGCCGGCCUGAGAGGGUGACCGGCCACAUUGGGACUGAGAUACGGCCCAGACUCCUACGGGAGGCAGCAGUGGGGAAUAUUGCACAAUGGGCGGAAGCCUGAUGCAGCAACGCCGCGUGCGGGAUGACGGCCUUCGGGUUGUAAACCGCUUUCGCCUGUGACGAAGCGUGAGUGACGGUAAUGGGUAAAGAAGCACCGGCUAACUACGUG
rnacentral:rRNA from 1 species